GACGAACGCUGGCGGCGUGCUUAACACAUGCAAGUCGAGCGGUAAGGCUCCUUCGGGAGUACACGAGCGGCGAACGGGUGAGUAACACGUGAGCAAUCUGCCCUUCACAUCGGGAUAAGCACCGGAAACGGUGUCUAAUACCGAAUACGACCACUUCCGGCAUCGGAUGGUGGUGGGAAGUUCCGGCGGUGGAGGAUGAGCUCGCGGCCUAUCAGCUUGUUGGUGAGGUAAUGGCUCACCAAGGCUUCGACGGGUAGCCGGCCUGAGAGGGUGACCGGCCACACUGGGACUGAGACACGGCCCAGACUCCUACGGGAGGCAGCAGUGGGGAAGAUUGGCCAAUGGGCGAAAGCCUGAUCCAGCAACGCCGCGUGAGGGAUGACUGCCUUCGGGUUGUAAACCUCUUUCAGCGGGGACGAAGCGAAAGUGACGGUACCCGCAGAAGAAGCACCGGCCAACUACGUGCCAGCCGCCGCAGUAAAAC
rnacentral:rRNA from 1 species